CUUCUCUUUUGUGCAUUAUUGUUUUGCUUAUUGUUUAAAAUGCAGUAGUCCUUGGAGGUUCCAGUGACCAUAAGGGCUGAUUCUGUAAAUAGAAGGUAAGAGAUAGUCUUCUCUUGAAAGGUCCUGCAGUGGAAAAAAACAGGCUCAGGAAAGGAUAGAAGUGCCUAAGACACACGAUGAUUUGCAAAUCUGUUGUUUAAAAAUUAAUUUUUUUUAGUUAUUCCAGCUUUUAUCCACUGAUGUAUUGGUUAGAAUUUCAUUUACUGUAUCUCAGACAGUAUAUCAAAUGUAAGCUAGAGUAAUGGUGGGUAUGAAAGGAAAAAGAAAAGACAUGAGGGACGACGGUGAACUGAAUGAACUUUCUCUUCAGUCAGACAGGUGAGCUUGUUCAGGAAUAGAAGGAAAAAGUCAACUAAGUAAAGAGCAUAUUUUCACAACCAUGUCAAUUCCUGAAGAUCCCUGAGAAAAUAUUUAGUGCUAGAACCAAUCCUCAGUACAGUUGUAACACAGAUUUUUCUUUCUAUUGUGCAACUCCUUGAGACGGGAAGAGUAGAAUAAUGCCUAAUUCUAUCAUUAGCCUUCCCUAUACAGCUUCAGUGAGUGAAGGAGAGAGAGACUACUGUUUUAGAUCACUUUAUUCCCUCCUGACCACAUCUGUGGAAUUUUCCAAGGUCUAAUUGAAAACCCUAGGAAAUGAAGUCAGAUGGAUUUUAGUGUUGUAGAUGUGUGUGCUUUUGAUGGGAAUCUCCUGAUCACUCUCACUAUUCACGUUGUGGUUCUUGCUGCAGAGUCAUCCUGGAGUGCAUGAACCUGAUGUUUUUUGAAUGAAAUGAAACCAGCAGAUGCACUCCAAAAGCAAGCCCCAUGACUUGCUGCUGCCAAUGAGAUGUCAGACCACAGGACAGCCAAAAACUAGAGUAUCCUGUCUGCGCCAUCCUUGAAACCAACAGAUAAAACUUAUGAAUGACCUGGAAAAAAUGUAAGCUUACUCAGUUAUACAAGGUAGCAUCCAAAUAGUCCAGGAUGGAUUUCACCUUAGGAAGAUCAAGAAGUGAAUGACCUGCUCAAGAAAAAGAUCAAGUCACCUGGCUUUUGUUGUUCUAAAGAAAGGAUGAAGCAUCAGGAGCUGUGUGAGUGGCUUUACAGUGGACAGUGUAUUGUUUUCUUCAGUUGCCAUGGUUCUAUCAACAGAGUAUUAUCUCCUCAGUAAGAAUGUUUUUUGCACUUCUGCACUUAAGAUCCAGAAUUAUCAAUUUUGUAGCAAGGAAGCCAUGUAAAUGAGGCCUCCUAAGAAAUAAAAAAAUCAGAUUCCACUGACAAUAUAUAGGUAUUUUUAAAACAGCUUGAACUUGAACAUUAGAACUGGUUAGAAGACAAGCCUGGGGAGGUCUUAAUAGAGAUUUACUAGCAAUUUUGGAAAUAUUUAGGUAUAGUGCAUUAGCUCUACUAAACUAUAAUCUGAAUGACCAGGUUUGUACAGACACUACCAAUAUUCCAAAGAGGAACAUUUUGCCAUCUUCUGUCUCUCUGCACUGGUGCUAAGAUCUCAGUGAUAAUUGCAUGAAUAGUACCAGCUACUCUGCAGCCUCCCAACAUUACAAGUGUCAUUUUGACUAAAACAAGUAUAAGUGCAUUGCAUGAUUCAGCCCAUUUUAUAUUCAUUUCACAGAAAACCUGUAACUUAAGU